rnacentral:rRNA from 1 species
GACGAACGCUGGCGGCGUGCUUAACACAUGCAAGUCGAACGGUAAGGCCCUUCGGGGUACACGAGUGGCGAACGGGUGAGUAACACGUGGGUGAUCUGCCCUGCACUUCGGGAUAAGCCUGGGAAACUGGGUCUAAUACCGGAUAGGACCACUGCCUGCAUGGGUGGUGGUGGAAAGCUUUUGCGGUGUGGGGUGGGCCCGCGGCCUAUCAGCUUGUUGGUGGGGGGUUGGCCUACCAAGGCGACGACGGGUAGCCGGCCUGAGAGGGUGACCGGCCACAAUGGGACUGAGAUACGGCCCAGACUCCUACGGGAGGCAGCAGUGGGGAAUAUUGCACAAUGGGCGCAAGCCUGAUGCAGCGACGCCGCGUGAGGGAUGACGGCCUUCGGGUUGUAAACCUCUUUCAGCACCGACGAAGCGCAAGUGACGGUAGGUGCAGAAGAAGGACCGGCCAACUACGUGCCAGCCGCCGCCGUAA